CGCUCGAGGCGGGCGGGGGCCGAGCGGGCGCAGCGCGGUGGCGCGUGCGCGCUGAGGAGACGGAGAUCUCUCGCGAGGAAGGACGCCAUUAUCGCAGCCGCCCGACAAACACCACGAGAAUUCGGCACCGCACACGGAUUGCAUGUCUCGUAAAACUGCUUGUUUGGGGGCCUGCAGUGGUGUUUGACUGCAAAGUGCAGCCUGGUUCUGAAUGAUGUCAGAACAGGAUCUGGCAGAUGUUGUUCAGAUUGCCGUUGAAGACUUGACUCCAGACAACCCAGAGUGUUGGGGUUUCAGAAGCCAGUGGAUCUGUCGAAGCAGAACAGCUGAUGUGGCAACUCUGCUUCCUCAUGUUGUGUUGGCGAAUCAUGAAGUGACAGACGAUGAUGUAGAGCCUACUCUGAAACGUCAGCGCAUAGAAAUUAACUGCCAGGAUCCCUCUAUUAAGUCAUUCCUGUGUUCCAUUAAUCAGACAAUAUGCCUGCGACUGGAUAGCAUUGAGGCAAAGUUGCUGGCUCUAGAGGCUACCUGUAAAUCACUGGAAGAGAAGUUGGAUCUUGUCAUGAACAAACAGCACAGCCCCAUCCAGGUCCCCAUGGUGGCAGGUUCUCCUCUUGGCGCUACACAGACCUGCAAUAAAGUACGAUGUGUUGUUCCCCAGACCACAGUAAUACUGAACAACGACCGGCAGAAUUCAAUUGUAGCCAAGAUGGUUGGGCAGGAAGAGCCACUGAGCAGAGCAGCGGAUUCUCUGGAAAAUAUCCUUAGCAAUGCUGUUCCUGGACGUAGGCAGAACACCAUAGUGGUGAAGGUUCCAGGGCACGACGACAGUCACAACGAAGAUGGAGAGAGUGGCUCUGAGGCCAGUGACUCCGUUUCCAACAGUGGACAAUUAGGAAGCCAAAGUAUUGGGAACAAUGUCACUCUUAUUACGCUGAACUCUGAAGAGGAUUACCCCAAUGGGACGUGGCUUGGAGAUGAAAAUAACCCUGAGAUGCGGGUCCGUUGCCCCAUCACCCCUGCUGACAUGCUGCACAUCAGCACCAACUGCCGCACGGCCGAGAAGAUGGCGCUGACGUUGCUCGAUUAUCUCUUCCAUCGGGAAAUUCAGGCCAUCUCCAACCUUUCAGGCCAGGGGAAGCAUGGCAAGAAGCAGCUCGAUCCUCUCAUGAUAUACGGAAUCCGCUGUCAUCUCUUUUAUAAAUUUGGGAUCUCAGAAUCUGACUGGUAUCGAAUCAAGCAGAGCAUAGACUCCAAGUGCCGAACAGCCUGGAGGCGGAAGCAGCGGGGGCAGAGUCUGGCUGUGAAAAGCUUCUCCAGGAGAACGCCUUCGUCGUCAUCUUACAGUGGUUCAGAGGGUCCUCAGAGCUCAGUGUCAGCUUCAAAUGAGAUCCAGCAGAACCAACCACAGGCACUGCACUACGCACUGGCCAACGCCCAGCAGGUUCAGAUCCACCAAAUAGGAGAAGAUGGACAAGUCCAAGUAAUCCCGCAGGGCCAUCUCCACAUAGCCCAGGUUCCUCAAGGCGAGCAGGUCCAAAUCACGCAGGACAGCGAGGGAAACCUGCAGAUACAUCAAGUGCACGUUGGGCAGGAUGGGCAGGACUUGGAUUUAUGGUUCUUGGGGAUCUAUUCCACUCCUUAAUGUCAUAUAAUCCACUGAGUGCUGAACUGAAAGCCAAAACUCCUCCUGCUCAGAUCCUGUGCCUGCCAUUGCUCAGUUGGACUUCAGUAAUUGGUGUGAAGGAAUACAGCCACUAACAGUGGGUGAGAAAUGUGAGGCUGCGUGACAGAGCAUAGCACCUUACUGCUGUAAGCACCGAGCCAGAGCAAGGAUUUCUCAUACAAAACGUGGAGCUGUGUGACACUCAGUCUGCUCCAUGGCAGGCAAGGGUUCACAGUAACCUGUACUCUCUCUUAAUUUCUGGAGAUGUGAAGUUUACCCCUUUGUGGCAUGUGGGAGAUAGCAAGGAGAUGACUUCAGUGUGGCUCAUGGAUUUCUAACUUGUAGUCUUACAAGUUAUUAACGUGUUCUUUCUAAAAGUUGCUUUCAUUUUGCCAGCAGGAACUGAUAGUGGAAGGUUGAAAGACCUAGGGGCAAAAAACAUUCAUUUCUAAAGCAUUUAAAAUGGUAAAUUUUAGAGUUUGUCAUCAGUGAUCCUGAUGCUGCACCACCCAACCCUCUGUAGGCUGCUUCACUGGCCCUUCCAGCUUUGAGUUGACAGUGUGACAGUUAACAGCAAUCAGGAAACCAUUCGUCUGGGUGCCUCUUCUUUUGCGUGCAUCUUUCAUUCACUCUCAGUGCAUCCAGCAUUGCUUCAUACUCUGCAGAAUGAAGCUGUGUUGGGGUGCAGUGUUGAAGCAGGUAUGUUGAGAUUAUCCAGAGCGAGCUUGGGCUGCGCCAAGGAGAAAGUAACUGUGGUUGUGCCAUGGCCUGUGGUGCAUUGCUCACACUUUACUGGAAUUUUGUUGGACAACUCAAGUUGCCCAGUACAAAAACCACUGUUAGAAUGCAUAGAGGCAAAAGCAAACCUUUUGUGUCUCCUCUGCUGCAAUCCACUCUUAAGGCGCCUUGAACUGAAUGGAAAAGGUUGGAUAAGCGGACCUGGAUGAGUGUCAGCUGGAAAGCUUUUGUAUUUAUCCACCCAAGGAGUUGCUUUUAAAAACUUAUUUACGUAAGCUUAAUUUUGGAUAAUAACUGUUUGCUUUCAAGUGAUUUGCUGCACUUACAGUGCUCAGCUAGUUGUACUAGCAUCUUUGACUUCUGUAGAUGCUCUCCUUAUUGAAGGUCCUUUAAGAUCAGCAAUUAGUCUAUUCUGAUAAAGCUAUUUAUUCUUUUUUUGUUUUGUUAGCCUGGAGGAAAUGUGGGAUAUAUGUGCUAGAAAUUGUAGAAUCUCAUUCCAGUUCUGCCACCAUAGGAAACUGGUGCAUUGCAUUGUUUCAGUUUUCUUGCCUAUGUGGGAGAUAUUUGCUGGUCUCAUCUCUCUCCCAGGGUAUUUUGCCACUCAUAAAGUGCUUGAAACUAAUACCAAACUUUCUGAUAAGCUCUUCCACAUGCCAUUUUUAUGGGAGUAAAAUAAAAAUGAGGUUAUCUGGAAUUGACAACAACUGUGAAUUUCAGAUUAACUGUGAAGUCUUUCUGCUCGAAAUCAGUGCAUCCCACUGCCUUGGAAAGAUCUUCUCCUCCAUUAUUCAUUACAAGGGCCUUAAAAUUAUACUCCAGUGACAAAGCCUUUAUUUAUUUUUAGACAAUUGGCAUCCACUUCUGGCUGACCUAGAAUGUUUCUUUGAUGACAAUGUCUGUGAUCCAGCUGGGUUUGCUGAAUGGUUGAAUAAACAAAGACAGAUAGUAAAAUGUGGGAAAGAAAAGGCUAUUUUCAUUAUAUUAGAGAAUCUGUCCAGCUGAGUCCAGGCCUGAUUCUACAUGUCAUAUCUAUAACAGUACACUUCAGUUAAGUGCCCUUGUGGUCUCUGCAGUAUUUCUGGAAUUUUAUUAUUAUUGGAUUUCAAGGUUACGAGAAGGUUAAGACCAAAAAGUUCAGAAUGAAGGUGAUUCACAAAGGCCUCUGCCUUCCUGAAGUAUGCAUGGUGUAGCUCAGGUUGAAUACAUGGAAGCCAGAGGAUAAGUACGAGCCAGUUGUUUUCUACAUUAUCAUCUUUUUUCAUUCUUGUUUCAUUUGCUGGCCAUUUGUUUUCAGCAGCUUCAAAACCAGCUUAAUUUUGAGAGGAUAACUCUGCUGGUAGCAAAGAGCUCCGGGUCAUAGAAUGUACAGAAGCCUCUUGUUUUGACUGCAUCAAAUGGGUUUUUGAACUAAAUGUUUUCCUGAUCCAAGUUUUUCUUCUUCAAAACGAAGAACGUAAACCAGUUACCAUGAGAGCAGCGUUGGAGGGCAACGGCUGUGAUUCAAAACCCACUGCAAAUGUAGAGGAAGUUGGUCCACUCUAUGAGGCUGAAAACCAAGUAGCAAAGGACCUCCUUGCAUCUAUUUAAAUGUAGUCAUUACAAACAAUAGUGAUGAACAAACAUCCUGAUGCUGCAGCUCUGAUACUUCUGGCACAGGAGGAGCCCCAGCGAGCCCUGGAGUUCCAGGGGACGUAGAGCUUGGGCCAAUGAAAACCAUUACUUCCGCCAUUCAAAGCAAUGGCACGGCUCGGAGUUCCAGCAUGGAUGUUGGGAAAAUGUUUUUACGGGGAAAAUACUUGCAAUUUUUGUUUGGUGGUGGUCAUUGCAUGUCUGAACGAGGAGCGAUUUUUCCAGUGUGUGUACGAUAACCAGAUGUGCUUUGGCCUUGAAGUGCAGCUGCUGUCCUACCAAGGCAGGGGUUAAUUCUACCAUGUGAAACUCUUGAGUACCCAACACAUGCCCUGCAGGAGCCUUCUGCAAUUGUAAUCACUGUGUUUGUCUUGGAUUUGGAGCUUUAAAGGAUUUAUUUAGAAUCCUUUCUGUUUAUCAGUUUCUAGAAUGUAAAAAAAUGGCCUUUCUUGAUGACUUCAGUGAAAUUUUCCAUGGUUCAUACUCUUGGUGGUAAUAAAUAAAAUGUAAUAAGAAUAACUUAUACAUUUUUAUAAGACUAUUUUGGUCUUUUAUUAGAAUUUAAUAACCCGGCCAAAGCUUCAAUCAGAGCUCUUUAACAUCAGAACAACUGCUCAGAAUUGUGUAGUUGAAGGCUGAUCCCAUUGACUGCAGGAAAACAUCACCUGUACCAGUGCCAAGGAAAGCAUCCAGUGAGACAGAUGGAACAAAGGCAGCAAAAUUUAGCCAUCCAAUUGGGGUUAGGAAGUCGGUAAGAGCCAGGCACAUUCUAGCUCCUAUCCCUGUGCCUCUGCCUCUUGAUUAGGUCUCUUGAUUAGAUACUGACUUGGCUGUGUGUCGGGUGCACCAGGUAUGGUUUCUGAAGGAAAAAAACCCCACAAAACAUUAAAUAAUAAUGGUAAAAAUUCUUAGGUUCUAAAAGAAUUGGUUUUUUUUAUAAAUGAGAGUGACUUUGUAUGAGUAAGAUAGCAGUGAAGGAUUGUCUCAGGAAACCAAUGAGUGCAAGGUUGCAAAUCCAGGCUGCUUUCUCCCGUGUCUUCAUCCCUUCUUUUCCAAUCCAAGAGUACCAGCAGUGUGCUUCUCAGUCAUCCUUGACCAUGUCGUGAUGGUAAUGAUGGAGAAAAGGAACACUUUCUUACAGAAACUAUCAGUUUGUGCUGUAACAACCUGGUUGGCCAAGAUAUCAGCAUCUGUGGAAUCAGCUUCCAAUCAAUCCUGCUCUGUCAGCAUCAUUUGUUACUACCAGUGGUUGUAAUGGGCUUACUGUUAUCUGCCUCUUCAUUGCUGAUUGCCUUCUGAUACAGUUUAAUAGAUGGCUACAUGGGUCUUUGAGUUUCUCUCUCCUUAGUUGUUUUUUAAGGUGAGGAUGAGUUCACCCCAAAGCAGACACUGGGACAGCAGCCUGCAGUGCAUCCUGCCAUUUGGGAUGGGGUUGGCCUUAGGUCGUACUGACAGUUGUAACAAUGAAACUGGAUGAUUAAACAAUAGUUUGGUGACAGUGGCUGCUGAGAAGACUGCCAGCAGCCCUUAAUGCUUGGUGGCUGCUCCAGUGCAAGUCUGCAGUUCAGAAUGUGCAGCUGAACAGAUAAAAUAUCUGAACAUUUCUUACCUUCUUUUUUUUCUCCCAUUGAGUCCAAGGUAGCAGGAGCUGCUCUGCACGCCCAAGCACUGCCUGACUUCCAAGGGGCUCUGCAGGAGAGUGGUAGAGUUGUUCCAGCUGAUCCUUCUGACUUUAAUGGUAGGGAGGUAGGAUUUGGUCAUUGCAGCUCUUACUGCCUAUGUGAGGGGUGAGCAAAAAUGAAAGCAGUAAUGAAUAUUUAUGUGAGGGGAACAAAAGCCUAGCGAGGGGCAGAAUCUAUCGGCCACAUCUUGUGUGUGGCUGCAGAAGGAAAAAGAUCAAGCACCCAUAACACUGGUUAGUUAGGUGUUAAGCAUGCAGUUUCAUGCCAGUGGUUUAAAGUCAGCAGGCCAAACCUUUGGUUCUGAUCUGCAGGCUUAGCAGCAGCUCAUUUUGUUUGCAGGAAACAACUCUGUGUGAUGGGGAGUUGCUGUGCUGGUGGCAUUGGCAGGUCAGCAUGCACAUCACCAUGAAUCCGUGUUUGCACCCUGUCAGCCCAGCUGCCUGUGUCAAGAUUUUCCAGCCAAAAUAUAACGAUACCAAUGAUGUGAGCCCUCCUGGCUGAGGUGUGCAGCUCUGGAGCUGCUGCUCAGGCUUGUUGCCCAGAGGGCCUUUAGGUGACCCUGCUGGCAAGGCUCUGGAGGCCGAAAAAACAGCGUGUUGAGACAUGAUUUAGUGACUUUCUAAAGCAAUCUCUUAAUUAAGGAUAGGCUUCUGAAUACACCAGGGCUCAGAGCAUCUGCACUGCCGACACGCUCAUCCAGCUCAACAUGUGUGGGGCUGUGCACAGGACAUUAGGGCUGGAAUUGCUGCUUUUUGAGGUUCUGAGAGCUGCAGAUCAAAUCUUGCUGCUUUUUGACAGCGUGUGCACCGUUACUGCAGGGACGUUUAGCACUCAUUUAGCUCGCAGUGAUCAGCUUAACCUGGGCUGUGCCUUUCCUAAGCCCAAUUCCUGGGUAGGUGGGGAUGGUGGGACUGUGCUCAUCGGUGCUCUCUGCCUCCCCCAGCAGCACCUCCACGUUGCUGUCAGGCAGCUGCAAGGUGCAGUGUUUCUCAAACUCUAUUGCAGGGAUGCAGUUUCUAUUUCAUCGUUGUCCUGGCAUAUUGCUGCAGUUCAGUAUGUUAUUAAAAUAAUAAAAAAGAAAGCUCUUAAAGUAUAUUUCUUUUCCAUAUUAACUCUUCAUUAUCCUGGGAAUAACAUCCUACAGCCACCUGCCUGCAUGGAGAAAGGGAACACUUCAUGGUGCUUUUAUUGAAGCUGAUAGCUGCAAAGCUGUAACACGUUCCCACCAAAGAGAAGAACAGAUUGGAUGUUCUAUUGCUUUUUGCUUAAGAAAUGGUAGAAAAACACCUGCAAAGCAGUUUGAUUGCUUUUCUGAUCCUUCAUGCAACGUAUGCCCUGAGAACAUUCUUUGUUAAUAAUGCACUUUAUUUUGGAGAACGAUCCCAAACUCACCCAGAAGGGUAAUGGAUUACAGGAGAUAUGGGGAAAAUACCCUACUGCUGAGUGCUUUCUGUUAAUAUUUUACUAUCGAUUAAUAUCUUGUAUAGAAUAUUUUCAACCCAGGUGGAUGGAUGGAGGUAUGGUUUUACUGCACUACUGAAACGUAUGAGCUUAUGGUACAAUACUCUCUAACUUACUACUGCUGCUUUUAAAGCUGUGUCUAGGCUGAAGGAUUUUGAGAAAGAAAUUGAUGUGAAACAGAUGGGUGAAAAAAGCCCACGACUGAUUUUUGUAAUCAUUUUUUUGCAGAUUUUCUGAUAGAAGGGAACUUUUUGCAUAGAGUGCCUUGUGAUUUUGAUCUGAUGAUUCUGAUGGCUGAUGUUUGUAGGAUCUGAAGCGACGGGGUUUUGAAAAAGGGUUUAUGCAUUAAAGAAAGGGGCUUGGAAGAGGCACAGCUCAGUUAAGCUGAUCAUUGCAAGCUGAACCAGUUCUGUCCCCACGGUAAUGGUGCACGGGCUGUAAAAAGCAGCAGGAUUUGGUCUGCAGCUCUGAGUCUGUAAAAGAAGCAAUUGCAGCCCUGCUAUUUUGCAUACAGCCUCACGCGUGUUGAGCUGGAAGAGCGUGUCGGCAGUGCAGAUACUCUGAGCCCCACUGUAUUCAGAAGGGCUUUUCUUUUCCACUUAAAGGUGAGGGCUUUCUAACUUUUAUCUGAGUCAGAGGGAUGUUAGAAACCAGCGUUUCCUCUUCCACCUGCAUGGCCAGCAGAGCCUUAUUAAAUUACCAAGAACUUUGAGCUCUGAGUGUUGAAGUCAAUCAUUUCCUUUGUCCAAGCUGCAUUUCCAGCUGUAUCUGCUUUAUUUCAGUUUUAAGUCUGUUCAGGGAAGCACUGAGAAACACGCGUUUGGAAGGAGCACCCUGUGCAGUUGUGCUUGCAGAUAGGAGGGUGCUCACAUUUCAGCAGCAGCGCGGAGGAUGCGCCGCUUCGCAGUGAGGAAUUGCUCCCAGCACUUAGCUUAGAUCCAGCAUUGCCCCCUGAGCUGGUGAGGAGCGGGCAGUUGGUGUUGCAGGGCGCUCAGUUGAUAGCUGUUGCAUCUGCUGAGCCUGCAUCAGGAGGAGUUGAUGGAUCCCCACUGCAAGGCAGCGAUAUCCAAGUCCAGUAUGUGCAGCUCACAC